rnacentral:rRNA from 1 species
GAUGAACGCUGGCGGCGUGCCUAAUACAUGCAAGUCGAGCGAACAGACGAGGAGCUUGCUCCUCUGACGUUAGCGGCGGACGGGUGAGUAACACGUGGAUAACCUACCUAUAAGACUGGGAUAACUUCGGGAAAACGGAGCUAAUACCGGAUAAUAUAUUGAACCGCAUGGUUCAAUAGUGAAAGACGGUUUUGCUGUCACUUAUAGAUGGAUCCGCGCCGCAUUAGCUAGUUGGUAAGGUAACGGCUUACCAAGGCAACGAUGCGUAACCGACCUGAGAGGGUGAUCGGUCACACUGGAACUGAGACACGGUCCAGACUCCUACGGGAGGCAGCAGUAGGGAAUCUUCCGCAAUGGGCGAAAGCCUGACGGAGCAACGCCGCGUGAGUGAUGAAGGUCUUCGGAUCGUAAAGCUCUGUUAUUAGGGAAGAACAAAUGUGUAAGUAACUAUGCACGUCUUGACGGUACCAAAUCAGAAAGCCACGGCUAACUACGUG